UAGGGAAUCUUCCACAAUGGACGCAAGUCUGAUGGAGCAACGCCGCGUGAGUGAAGAAGGGUUUCGGCUCGUAAAGCUCUGUUGGUAGUGAAGAAAGAUAGAGGUAGUAACUGGCCUUUAUUUGACGGUAAUUACUUAGAAAGUCACGGCUAACUACGUGCCAGCAGCCGCGGUAAUACGUAGGUGGCAAGCGUUGUCCGGAUUUAUUGGGCGUAAAGCGAGUGCAGGCGGUUCAAUAAGUCUGAUGUGAAAGCCUUCGGCUCAACCGGAGAAUUGCAUCAGAAACUGUUGAACUUGAGUGCAGAAGAGGAGAGUGGAACUCCAUGUGUAGCGGUGGAAUGCGUAGAUAUAUGGAAGAACACCAGUGGCGAAGGCGGCUGUCUGGUCUGCAACUGACGCUGAGGCUCGAAAGCAUGGGUAGCGAACAGGAUUAGAUACCCUGGUAGUCCAUGCCGUAAACGAUGAGUGCUAGGUGUUGGAGGGUUUCCGCCCUUCAGUGCCGGAGCUAACGCAUUAAGCACUCCGCCUGGGGAGUACGACCGCAAGGUUG
rnacentral:rRNA from 1 species